GCGCACUUAGAGAUUAUAGAGAAAAAGGAAUACAAUCCAUUCCUCUUAAAACAAAGGUUUCAUAUAUACAUGUCCCAAGAUAACCCCGUAAUCCAUUCGAUCUUCUGGAUAAGAGAUAAAAAUAGAAAAGCUGAAUGAUGCAAAAUAUUGCAAUCAUUAAUAAACAAGAAAAUCCAUUGAUUAUUUAUAGAAUAUAUAACAUAA
rnacentral:lncRNA from 1 species